rnacentral:rRNA from 1 species
CAGCAGCCGCGGUAAAACGGAGGGGGCUAGCGUUGUUCGGAAUUACUGGGCGUAAAGCGCACGUAGGCGGCUUGGUAAGUUAGAGGUGAAAGCCCGGAGCUCAACUCCGGAAUUGCCUUUAAGACUGCCGAGCUAGCAGGUGAGAGAGGUAAGUGGAAUUCCGAGUGUAGAGGUGAAAUUCGUAGAUAUUCGGAAGAACACCAGUGGCGAAGGCGACUGACUGGACAAGUAUUGACGCUGAGGUGCGAAAGCGUGGGGAGCAAACAGGAUUAGAUACCCCAGUAGUCCCUGUCUCUUAUAC